rnacentral:rRNA from 1 species
UACGUAGGGUGCAAGCGUUAUCCGGAAUUAUUGGGCGUAAAGAGCUCGUAGGCGAUUUGUCACGUCUACUGUAAAAACCUGGAACUUAACUCCGGGCCUGCAGUGGGUACGGGCAGACUAGAGUGCGGUAGGGAAGACUGGAAUUCCUGGUGUAGCGGUGAAAUGCGCAGAUAUCAGGAGAAACACCGAUGACAAAAACAAAUCUCUAAACCAUAACUAACACUGAGGAGCGAAAACAUGGGGAGCGAACAGG